rnacentral:rRNA from 1 species
AGAACGAACGCUGGCGGCAUGCCUAAUACAUGCAAGUCGAACGAACACUUCGGUGUUAGUGGCGCACGGGUGCGUAACGCGUGGGAAUCUGCCCUUGGGUUCGGAAUAACAGUUGGAAACGACUGCUAAUACCGGAUGAUGACGAAAGUCCAAAGAUUUAUCGCCCAGGGAUGAGCCCGCGUAGGAUUAGCUAGUUGGUGAGGUAAAGGCUCACCAAGGCGACGAUCCUUAGCUGGUCUGAGAGGAUGAUCAGCCACACUGGGACUGAGACACGGCCCAGACUCCUACGGGAGGCAGCAGUAGGGAAUAUGGACAAUGGGCGCAAGCCUGAUCCAGCAAUGCCGCGUGAGUGAUGAAGGCCUUAGGGUUGUAAAGCUCUUUUACCCGAGAUGAUAAUGACAGUAUCGGGAAGAAGUAACGCCCCGGACUAACCUCCGUGCCCAAGCCGAGCCGAC